GACGAACGCUGGCGGCGUGCUUAACACAUGCAAGUCGAACGGAAAGGCCCUGCUUUUGUGGGGUGCUCGAGUGGCGCGCAGGUGAGUGUCACGUGAGUAACCUGUCCUUGACUUUGGGGUACCUUCAGGAAACUGGGGCUAAUACCGGGUAGGAGCUCCUGCUGCAUAGUGUGGGUUGGAGAGUUUCGGCGGUGGGGGAUGGACGCGCGGUUUAUCAGCUUGUUGGUGGGGUAGUGGCUUAACAAGGCAUGGACGGGUAGCCGGCCUGCGAGGGUGACCGGCCACAUUGGGACUGAGAUACGGCCCAGACUGCGACGGGAGGAAGCAGUGAGAAACAUUGCAAGAUGCGCGGAAGGCGGAUGCAGCAACGCCGCGUGCGGGAUGACGGUUUUCGGGGUGUAAACUGCGUGCGACUGGGACGAAGCGUGAGUGACGGUAACGGGUAAAGAAGCACCGGAUAACUACGUG
rnacentral:rRNA from 1 species